GACGAACGCUGGCGGCGUGCUUAACACAUGCAAGUCGAGCGGUAAGGCCCUUUCGGGGGUACACGAGCGGCGAACGGGUGAGUAACACGUGGGUGACCUGCCCUCAGCUCUGGGAUAGGCCUGGGAAACCGGGUCUAAUACUGGAUAUGACUCCAUGACGCAUGUUGUGGGGUGGAAAGCCCUGUGCGGCUGAGGAUGGGCCCGCGGCCUAUCAGCUUGUUGGUGGGGUGANGGCCUACCAAGGCGACGACGGGUAGCCGGCCUGAGAGGGCGACCGGCCACACUGGGACUGAGACACGGCCCAGACUCCUACGGGAGGCAGCAGUGGGGAAUCUUGCGCAAUGGGCGAAAGCCUGACGCAGCGACGCCGCGUGAGGGAUGACGGCCU
rnacentral:rRNA from 1 species